rnacentral:rRNA from 1 species
GACGAACGCUGGCGGCGUGCCUAACACAUGCAAGUCAAGGAGAAUUCCCGACUUGUCGGGAUAGUAAACUGGCGAACGGGUGAGUAACACGUAGGUAAUCUACCCUCGGGAUCGGGAUAACCUCGCGAAAGUGGGGAUAAUACCGAAUAAAGUCUCGGUAUAAUUUGUCGAGAUGAAAGAUGGGGAUCUUCGGACCUAUUACCUGAGGAUGAGCCUGCGCCUGAUUAGCUAGUUGGUAGGGUAAAUGCCUACCAAGGCAACGAUCAGUAGCUGGUCUGAGAGGAUGAUCAGCCACAUUGGGACUGAGAUACGGCCCAGACUCCUACGGGAGGCAGCAGUGAGGAAUUUUGCGCAAUGGGCGAAAGCCUGACGCAGCAACGCCGCGUGACUGAUUAAGCUCUGAGGAGUGUAAAAGUCUGUCGUAGAGGAAGAAACUAUCCGAUAAGAAUAUGUCGGAUACUGACGGUACUCUAUGAGAAAGCUCGGCUAACUCCG